rnacentral:tRNA from 1 species
UUUAGAGAAACUUUUAUGAAGUGCUACUUUGAAGAAGUAGAAAAGGAUUCACCCUCUAGAG